AAAUCAACCGAGAUUCCCCCAGUAGCGGCGAGCGAACGGGGAGGAGCCCAGAGCCUGAAUCAGCAUGUGUGUUAGUGGAAGCGUCUGGAAAGGCGCGCGAUACAGGGUGACAGCCCCGUACACAAAAGCGCAUGUGCUGUGAGCUCGAUGAGUAGGGCGGGACACGUGGUAUCCUGUCUGAAUAUGGGGGGACCAUCCUCCAAGGCUAAAUACUCCUGACUGACCGAUAGUGAACCAGUACCGUGAGGGAAAGGCGAAAAGAACCCCGGCGAGGGGAGUGAAAAAGAACCUGAAACCGUGUACGUACAAGCAGUGGGAGCACAGGUUUACCUGUGUGACUGCGUACCUUUUGUAUAAUGGGUCAGCGACUUAUAUUCUGUAGCAAGGUUAACCGUAUAGGGGAGCCGGAGGGAAACCGAGUCUUAACCGGGCGUUAAGUUGCAGGGUAUAGACCCGAAACCCGGUGAUCUAGCCAUGGGCAGGUUGAAGGUUGGGUAACACUAACUGGAGGACCGAACCGACUAAUGUUGAAAAAUUAGCGGAUGACCUGUGGCUGGGGGUGAAAGGCCAAUCAAACCGGGAGAUAGCUGGUUCUCCCCGAAAGCUAUUUAGGUAGCGCCUCGUGAAUUCAUCUCCGGGGGUAGAGCACUGUUUCGGCUAGGGGGCCAUCCCGGCUUACCAACCCGAUGCAAACUGCGAAUACCGGAGAAUGU
rnacentral:rRNA from 1 species